rnacentral:rRNA from 1 species
CCUACGGGAGGCAGCAGUGGGGAAUCUUGCGCAAUGGGCGAAAGCCUGACGCAGCAACGCCGCGUGAGGGACGAAGGUUUUCUGAAUUGUAAACCUCUUUCAGCAGGGAAGAUAAUGACGGUACCUGCAGAAGAAGCACCGGCUAACUACGUGCCAGCAGCCGCGGUGAUACGUAGGGUGCAAGCGUUGUCCGGAUUUAUUGGGCGUAAAGAGCUCGUAGGCGGUUUGGUAAGUCGGUUGUGAAAUCCCCAGGCUCAACCUGGGGCCUGCAUUCGAUACUGCCAUGACUAGAGUUUGGUAGGGGACCACGGAAUUCCUGGUGUAGCGGUGGAAUGCGCAGAUAUCAGGAGGAACACCAGUAGCGAAGGCGGUGGUCUGGGCCAAUACUGACGCUGAGGAGCGAAAGCGUGGGGAGCAAACAGGAUUAGAUACCCUGGUAGUCCACGCCGUAAACGGUGGGCACUAGGUGUGGGGACUAUUCAACGGUUUCCGCGCCGACGCUAACGCAUUAAGUGCCCCGCCUGGGGGNGGUACGGCCGCGAGACGUAAACGUACGAAAGAAGUAGUAACGGCGUGNGACGUGCCGACGGACGACGACGAGGGAGGAGG